rnacentral:rRNA from 1 species
GAGCGGCGAACGGGUGAGUAACACGUGAGUAACCUGCCCUGGACUUUGGGAUAACCCUCGGAAACGGGGGCUAAUACCGGAUACGACUNCCGAUCGCAUGGUUGGUGGUGGAAAGUUUUUCGGUCUGGGAUGGGCUCGCGGCCUAUCAGCUUGUUGGUGGGGUGAUGGCCUACCAAGGCGACGACGGGUAGCCGGCCUGAGAGGGCGACCGGCCACACUGGGACUGAGACACGGCCCAGACUCCUACGGGAGGCAGCAGUGGGGAAUAUUGCACAAUGGGCGGAAGCCUGAUGCAGCGACGCCGCGUGAGGGAUGACGGCCUUCGGGUUGUAAACCUCUUUCAGCAGGGACGAAGCGAGAGUGACGGUACCUGCAGAAGAAGCGCCGGCCAACUACGUGCCAGCAGCCGCGGUAAGACGUAGGGCGCGAGCGUUGUCCGGAUUUAUUGGGCGUAAAGAGCUCGUAGGCGGCUUGUCGCGUCGUCCGUGAAAACUUGGGGCUCAACCCCAAGCUUGCGGUCGAUACGGGCAGGCUAGAGUUCG